ensembl:snRNA U6 U6 spliceosomal RNA
GUGCUUGCUUCGAUAGCACAUAACUAAAAUUGGAAUACUAGAGAAAAGAUUAUUAAUUUAGCCCCUGCACAAGGAUGGCAUGAAAAUUCGUGAAGCAUUCUAUCUUUUU